UCAUAGCACUAAGAAGGUUGAGAACUACUAAUCUAGAAUAUGCUCUUCUGCCACUCUCUUCCUGACUGCCUAUGGAGUUGCUAUGGAUUUUCUGUCUGUUUCACCGCCAGACACCUAGAAAGAUUCUCACAGUUCCCUGGACUCUAAGCCCCUCAGACUUCAGUGGGCUCCAGACAGGUGCUCAUGUCCUCUCAUCCUAGGCUCUCACCACCCAACAGAGGCUAACUACCCUUGUGAUGGAUGACCAUUGGUUAGUAGGGUCCUGCCUUCAUCCUGCUGGAAGGGAGUGGGAACUGUGGACAAGCAAGUAGGUGUCUCAUCCCUGCCCCAGAAGCCGACUGGCAGUCGGGUCUCUCCAGCACGUAGUAAGCCCUCUCCCUGGAAUUGGUGGCUGGGAGUAGGCUAGAUAAAUGGCAUUCUCCAGGGUACCUCUUUAUCUGAUGGAAGCAAAGCAAAGUUGGCUACAGGAUUCGGCUCUGUGUUAUGAGAUAGCAGCCUUUGAUGGGAAAUAAAAGCCACAUCAAAUGGGCCUUUCGACUGCAUCUGAAUACUUGGGCUUAAUAUUUAUACCUUAAAGUUUGUAGGCUGGUCAAAGCAUCGGCGUGUGCUUUGGAAGAGUCUUCUUUUUUAAUAUAAGAUGGAGAAUAUUUUAUUUCCUAGUUAACAGGUGUGCAUGUGAUUCAUCAUACACGUACUAGUAAGAAGGGCUCAUUCCCGGAAACUCAGGAGUCUGUGGCUCUGGGGAGUCCAUAGAUGACACAGUUGGCAUCUCUGAAACCCCAUCCCAUCUCCUGUCACCUGGCUAUGAAGGAGGAAGCUGAAGAGCAGCUUGAUCUCCUGCUUGCAUACUAUCCCGGGUCUGUGCCUUGGAAAUAGAAUCCCAUGAGUCCACACAGGAAGUCUUCCAACACUAGACAUGGUGGCACAAAUGGCUUUCACAUUAGGAGGCAGGAGAGGUCAGUUCAUCAGUAUGCCCCAUUUCUGCAAUGGGUUGAUGCUUUCCAAGAGGGACAUAAUUACCACAGGAACUCAAGGGAAUGAGGAGCGAGGGAAGGCGACACUCAGCCUCUGCACAAGGGGCACUUCUGGAUUGUAGUGGUAACAUAAGGACAUUUAGCUUGCAUCCGUUCCUACUGUGUGGAAGAUCUGUCCUAAGAGAAUUAGUGGCAGGACCUCAGUACUUCCUCUCAAGCCCUCAGCAGCUGAUAGAGCACUGCCCCAUUCUAUAGUUAGCCUGAAGAAGCCAUGCCCACAGUGAGGCCAUAUGCCUGGUCCCAGGAACAGUUGAGGAAGUUUAGCGGAAACAAGUAUGGGAAAAGAAGAUGCUAGCCCUUGAUGGGGUUCUUGGGCCUCAGUGGAUGACAGUUAUAAUUAUAGUAAGUGUGACAGCACACUAUCACUGUCUCUGUUAGUGUCCUUGUUUUCUCUUCUGAUGCUGUGAUAAAAGACUCAGACAAGAGCAACUUAGAGUAGGAAGGGUUUCUUUCGGCUUACAGCUCCAAGUUAGAGACCAUCGUCAAAGACAAGCUGAGGCAGCAGAAACUUGAAGCAGGGAACUGAGAAUGCAGAAAGAGCAAAUGCAUGCGUGCUUACACUCGGCUGGCUCUAUGCCUUUUAUACAUUAGAAGACCCAAGUGUAGGGAAUGGUACCACCCAUUCUUAAGGUUGGUCUCCCUCACCUCAAUCAACACAAUCAAGACAAAUUCCCACAGGCCAACCUGGUCUAGACAACACUUCACUGAGUCGCUUCCCUGGAAACUAUAGACUGGGUCAUGUUGACAAUCAUCACUGAUCAUCGGCAGGAGACUGAAAGGGAUGCCACAUUCAUCAUGAAGAUGCCUUUCAACUGGGCUUCAGAGGAGUCUUAACAACUGUAGCUGUUAGGCAGGGAAGAUCUGCCUCACACACAGGCCUGAGGCAUGCUCUCAGAGGUGGAGGAUCAGCAGCGUGAAGAGGCAGAGAACACUUUGUCUCCUGUGGCCACCAGUAAGCAAACUCACGUGUGGCCACGUGGGCACAGGACAUCUGCAGAGAGCCGUGAGCAACUGAGAGAUCGUUGGCUGAAAGACAAGAAGCGCUGUAUCAAGUGAGUGACAGCAAGCAAAGAGAAGCCCACAAGCCGGGAAGAGGAGCUGACCAGAAGCCAGCCACUGCAGUUCUGUGAUCUCGGGCUUCCCAGCCUCCAGACAUAAUUUCCUGCCUACUGGAACUUGCAAUUUCAAACAGGAAGGCGAGAUGCUUAAUAACUUAAUUAGAGGUUGGCAAUGUCUUUGAAAUCCUGGGCUCCAGUCUCUGCAGAGCAAUGAAGACUGCAUACAUCCCCAGAAGUGGCCAGGCUCUCUCCAGAACUUCUCAAAGAACUUUUCUCAUGCUGUCCGUGUGCAGCCAAGCUCAGCAGCAGGUAGCCCUUUCUGGAUCCUUCCACUUCAGAUUUGAUUUGAAUGUUUUCCAUUCUUCAGUGAAUUAGUUAUACCAGAAUGAGAAUGAAAAUAUCACCCCAAGCCCAGACAAAGGUCAGAAGAAGCCAAAGGCAUGAAACAGAAUCCAAGAUAAAGAUGUAAAGAUCUAGUAUCUCUACCUGGAAAUAAGACAAUGGAAGUGCUUGGGAAGAAGAGGCUGUGAGACGAUGCUCUGCUGUGCUCCUGGCCAGCUCUGGCCUCUUGGAUGGAAAGGCAGGAGCAGAGGUGAAGAGCAUUCUGGCUUUUCUUAAGGGCUGACAAUGGAGGAAGAGAACCUCUCCAGGUCAUGGGCUCUCUCGAGGGUAGAGACAUGGUGCCAUUAUCAGGAGGAUGUUGUAGCAGGCGUCUUCCUUCAAGGCUAUCCCCUAAGGCAGGGAUCCAGGGAGGGCACUGGAGUGGGUGAUGCUGUGACUCAUUCCUCCGUCCUGAUCUCCCCACUUCCCAGCCCCAUCCUCCGACCCAUUCUUUCUCCUUCCCAGGCCCUGAGCAAAGAGCAGGGUACUUCCUCUUCUACUCUUUGUGAGUCCUUUCAUUGUCUUCUCUCUUCACUUUUCUGCGAGUGAGUGGCUCUCCCCACAUUCCUGAACUCUUGUGUGACACCUGUGCAUUGGGUUGAGUCCAGUGGCAUUUAUCAUCCAAACUGGGAACAGACUCUGUUACCACAUUCCAGAGAAACUGGCACCACCAAAGACUCUCCAGAGGACAAAUUACUGCAAGUUACAAAAACUCAAUGUAAGUAGCUUGAGUGGAGGGAAAUGAGUGUAUGUCACGUGCUGUUGGUUCACAAUGAGUUGGGGUUCAGUCACCCUAGUAUUCUAUAUCAGUAAACUCCUUGCUUCUUUCCUUUGCCUCUGUUCCCCCUCCUCUCUGAUUAGCUACAGACAUCCUCCCUGCAGGGAAAAGGGCUGAUUCAUCACCCUAAACCCAGCUUCUCCUCUUUUAUAGUAAAAUAUCCUGAAAUGAACACUGGUUGUCUCAACUCACAGGCAUAUGCAUCAGUCAGAAGGAGAUUCUUCUGUUUGGAGUCUUAACUGUGAAUCUGUAGAAUGAAGAAUUUCAAAGUAAGAGUCAGUACACAACACAGACUUAAUAAACUGGGUUGGAGGUGAAGUUCUGAAAGGUGACUCUAGGAAAAGAGAAGUAAAACAGCCAUUCCAUACACAUUCCUGGGAAUUCAAAGGAGACUUCCUACCCUACAUCCCCCCUUUUACAGAUGAAGAAACCAGGGCUCAGAGUGGUUGGGCAUCUUGCCCAAGGUUGUAGGGAUGAUGAAUGGAGCAUCCCAAGUCUGUCUGACUUGAGGCCUUCACAGAUCAUUUUUCUUUCUUUGCUCUGUGCUAGACCUAGAGGGCAAGACAUAAUUAGUCCUUAAUGGAGGCUGACUCUGUCUUCAGUCAACAGAAAAGCAACCCCGAGUAGGACCAGGGAGAUGAGAUGGCUCAGUUGAUAAACUGCUUCCUGAACCAGCCUGAGGACAUGGGUUCGAGCCUCAGAGUGCACAUGAGAAGACAGGCUAAGGGGCUUGCUUCUGUGAUCUCAGGACUGGAGAGGCAAAGACAGGCAGAUGCCUGGAGCUCACUGACCAACCAGAUCAAUGAACUCCGGUCCAGUGAGAGACCCCAUAUCAAAAGAGAAGGGAGAGAGCCACUGAAGAGAGCACUUAAUAGCCAGUGUUGAUCUCUGUGCAUAACACACACACACACACACACACACACACACACAUACUCCAGUAACCCAGACUGGCAAGAAAAAAGUAAUCUAUGGGCCACAUGACCCAUCUGUGGGUAGUUCAAGGUUACAGAUGGAGUCAAAGAUAGAGAGAGUUCCAUCAGCAUGCCCUCUAAUUUUCCUGGUUUCCACGCCAUACCCUUGUCUGCAUGUGGCUGAAAGAAGGCCACCAACAGCCCUGGGCUCAGGAGCCCUCAGCUCCCUCCUUCUCAUUUACAUACCCCUGUGCACCCUUGAUCAGCUCUAUCUAUCAGUUCUGUUUUUGAACCUCAAAAGCAGGUUCAGAAGGGGCCACUCAGAAUCCCAUGUCCACAAGCAGCCAGUUGGAUGAGGACAUGAGGAUCUGCAAUUGGUCCAACUCCAGCCAAAUGCCCAUGCUAGCCAAUCACUGUGGCUGGAGUAACAAGACCUGGGAAGAUAGUAGAUGCUUCUAUCAAACUUAAAAAGGAGAUAAACAGGACUUACAGGGUGUCCAGUAUUGCUUCUCUGUGCAAUUAUCUCACAGGUAGUGGUCUUGCUUUCAAACUAUUUUAUACAGAGUCUUCUCAUGACAUAUCCUUUGUAACUCUGAAUUAAGAGGCUUUUUUUUUUAAGGUAAGGAAGCAGUUACUACUCUCCAACUUCAACAAGAGCAGCAGGACUAGACUUUGCUUUGCCAUACAUCCCAAAAUUUACAGUUGUUCUGUACACUUUGAUCUCUCACGGAGACUUUGGAUCCAUCCCUAACAAUUCAGACCCAGGAGACAGGGCAACAGAUAUUUGACAUGGCAGCUGUGGUGAUUUGAAUAAAAAUGGUCCUCAUAGGCUCAUCUAUUUGAAUGCUUGUCAUCAGGGAGUGGCGCUGCCUGAAGGAUUAGGAGGUGUGGCCUUGUUAGAGUAGUGGUGGCCUUGCUGGACGAAGUGUAUCACUAGGGUGUAGCUGGAAGCAUCUCUCCCAUCCAUGUUCCUCAGCUGCUUGGUCCCAAGUAAAUACACAGAGGCUUAUAUUAUUUACAAACUGAGUGGUCUAUGGGUCAGGCAUCUUGUUAGCUAGCUCUUAUAACUUAACCUGUUUCUAUUAAUCUAUAUGCUACCACAUGACCGUGGCAUAACUGGUGUGCUGACAUCAUGUUUCUCCUUGGAUGGUAGGCUGGUGUCUCCCCCAACUCCAUCCUUCUUUGUCUUGUCUUCAUUUUGAAUGUACCCCCAACCGAUCGUGCCCUGCCACAGGCCAAUGCAGCUUUAUUUAUCAACCAAUCACAGCAACACAUAUUCACAGCUUACAGAAAGACAUCCCACAGCAAUAGGGAUAGGCUUUGAAGUUUCAGGUGCUCAAGUCAGAACCAGUGGCUCUCCCUCUCCCUGCUGCCUGUGAAUCUGGAUGCUGAACUCUCAGCUCCUUCUCUAGCACCAUGUCUGCCUGUGUGCACCAUGCUCCCCGCCAUGAUGAUAAUGAACUAAACCUGUAAAGCUGUAAGCAAGCCCCAACUAAAUCCUUUUUUUCAUAAGCGUUUCCAUGGUCAUGGUGUCUCUUCAUAACAAUAAAACACAAAGACAGCAGCCGUGGUCGAAACGCUGGCUAUGGCUUUAAACAAUGCAUGGCAAUAAUCUCUCUGCAGUAUAAACUAAGGAUGGUAGGGCUUUGGUUUUGGGGGAGGGUUGCUUGUUUGUUUGUUUGUUUGUUUGUCUGUUUCUCUCAUGGAAUUCAUUCCCACUUCGCUCCUUUGCCCAGCCCAGCUUUCUGGUAUUCAUUGCCUCAGAGGCAGAGGAUUUUAAGGCAAAAAUAAACUAUGCUGUUUGCACCGCUCUUGCUUCUUUCUUCCAAAAGCCAUAUCCCUAGAGGCACAAUGAGCUAGAGGCAAGGGAAGGAAGGGUUGAAGAAGUUGCAAGUUUCCCCUUCUUGCCUCCGAACCUCAGCCAAGGGGAGAGGGAAGGUAUGAGGCAGAGAAGAAGACAGGCAUUGGUGAAUCUGAACGAAGGGGACUGUGACAUCCGCCCCCACACAGGAUUCUUGACUCAGAGUGGAGCCAGCACAAGUCCAUUUCCUACACGGAGCCCCAGGGGAAUAACUAAGUUCCAGGAGUGGCCCAGAAGACCCUGGUCGCCCUCAGCCUCUCAGGUUCCCUACACCUGCCUGAUCUCAGAAAGAACCCUUAAAGCUGAGUGGAGCAGACUAGAAAGCCAGACUCCUGGAACAUAGGCAAAUCUGGAAAAGCAGCCAGCUGGACUCUGUGCUGCCUGAGGCUAAUCUAGCCAAAGAAGAAAUUAAAAUAAACUCUGGUCCCUGUCCAUGUGACUCCAUACAGUAAGCUGUGUGCUUACUGCUCACUCUGUCCCUGCUGCUCCACACCCCACUGAGGUGGAAGACUUGACCAUGGACCUGGUUACACUUCCCACUCACUGCAGGUCAGGAGCUGGGUUUCAUGGAUACCACAUAUUCUACUAACAAGGUGACAUUAAGUCUCCUAUAACCUUCAUGAAGGCCUAAAUGUGACUUUGCUGUCAAGAAGCUCUCAUUUAUUUAUCACCCACUAACCAUCAUCAAACUAACAGCAAGCUUGAUUGACAUAUCUAUGGGAUGUGUCUACCUGGUGAAAACCAUACUACAGCCCUUCAUCCUUAAUCCCCCAAUAUCUGUGCUUUGCUUGGGGCCCAGUAGAGGACACUGGACCCCACAGCUUCCUGCCAUGUUACCAGUAAGGGUGUUUCAAGGCUCUCCCCCACUCCUCCCCCCAACCCUGCGUGCCCUCCCACAGACACCCUCCACGGCCCUCCCCAGAGUUCCCACCACAACUGGCGCUUCCCUGUGUGUCCCUGCUUGAUGCUGUAAUGAACUUCUCAGGAGAUCCCAGUCCUAAAUCCUGGGUCUUUACUCAGCUACCAUUUGCCCAGCUUUAAUGUGGAAAGACCCACAAAAAUCCUGCAGGUACAGCUCUCACCCAAUUGGGCUCUCCUGUGAAGCCCAGCUAUUGCAUGUAAACUCACAUGGUUACGGGCAGAAUUCAGACCCUUGUAUCUGAAGGAGUGAGGCUCCUUGUUUGCUCCCUUCCUGUCAACAGGGAAACCCACUUGGGUAGCAGACUACUCUUAGAUCUCAGUGAGUCCAUGAGUCCCCUCCACAGCCAGGGUUCAAGGUGGCUCUGUUUUCUUCAAGGCCAACAGUGUCUGCCUCUGUCAGGGCUUCCCAGUCACAUCAGGAUAGCCAGGAUGCUUUCUCUUUUUAGACUCAGAGACCAUCAACGGAACACUUUGGCGGUAUCUAUAGCAAAUACAUAUAUCCGGAACACAAUUCAGACAGUCUCUGGGCUGGCUCUAAUGGCUUGAGGCACAGCUCCUCUACUUUAUAGUAGAGUAAAUGCAACAUGCACUCAGUAGAUGCUGCACUUCCCCUGGCAUGUCUACUCGUGGGGGUUAUGCACUCUUGCAUAGUCACUGGCAUGUGAGAGUAAGUGCGUGCACACUCGUGAAUGCCAGGGUUUGGUGUCUGCUGUCUACUUCAGCUGCUCUCCACUUUAUUUACAGAGCCAGGGUCUCCCAGACUGACAGAUCUGGCUAGACAUCUUGCCCAGGGGGUCAUCUGUCUCUGCCAUCUGAGCACUGGGAUUGCAGGCGGCCUGCCACACCUGCCCAGCUUUUAUGUGGGUGCCAGGGAUCCACAAGCACCUUAGCAACCAAGUCUUCCUUAAUUUUGAAUUUGAUCUCCUAGAACUAACUGUGCAUGGUACAUUCUUCCCUCACAAUACCCAACUGUAAAGUGACAUUCUGUCCCUAGCCAGCUUCAGAGGAGCCCAGUGGAGUUGCAAGGUGAACAUGGCAAACAUAGCUUGACUUAAAAUAUUUUCCACAGUCAGUGCGUUGACCAGGACGUGCUGAACACCUGCAUAAUCAAAAGAGUGCCAUCCCACACCUUCAGCAGUCUCGUUACGGAAUGGGAGGCGCUACAAAGACAUUAAGCAUCAAGGUCAUUAAGCAUCAAGGUCAAGAAGCCUGGGGUUGGGGGGCGGGGUAGGGGCAUCAUUGACUUCUGCUUGCAAGUAGGUCUCACUCCUUUGGUUCACAGAAUGACUCUAUGAGGCAGGGAGUAUGUUAAAUUCCAGUUUCAGGUAUUUUAAGGAACUAGAGUAGAAGCUGUAACUUCAGAAAGAUUUAGGGCUCCAUUCAGUGCUAUGUAUCUGACUGGACACCAGGCACUCAUGUGCCAGACACCAUGUUGGGUCACUAUAAAGCUAUUGAGCACCAGGAUUUAACAGACAGCUACAUAAAAAUGAGUCAGUCUCAACUCAUCUCCAUGCAUCAUCUCUUUGGGACAAAAACCUAUGCGAGAAAGGAGUUCAUUCCCAUUGGCCCUCAAUUUACAGGUGUGUAAAUUGAGGCUGGAAAAGUUCAGAUGAUGGUCUCCAAGUGCUGUAACUUCUGAACUCAGAGCUCUUGACCUCCAUGGAUCACAACACUGAUUGAUACAAUACCUGCCUCUCAAUAAGAAGAUUCUUGCCUUUUAAAAGAUACUAGGAGCACAGAAAAGUGUGGGUAUGCAGAGCACAUGUCGGGCUACAAAAGCCAAAGAUGGUGCUGAGAGGAAGUGAGCUGGGCAGGGACCUAACUUGUUUACCAAAAAUUGUGAUUGGAUCAGGAGAGAUGAUGUAGGUGCAUGGCCUCCUUGUGAUCAUCAUGCCUAGCUAUGCCUGGAGAGUCUCGUGGAUACAUGACUUUUGUUGUGAUUGGUAGAAGGAAAGCUGGCUUGUGGUUUGGUGCUUUAUAAAGAGUGUGCUGAUGCUUAAUAAAUGAGUUCCUGCUUGA